GUAGGGUGCAAGCGUUAAUCGGAAUUACUGGGCGUAAAGCGUGCGCAGGCGGUUAUGUAAGACAGAUGUGAAAUGCCCGGGCUCAACCUGGGAACUGCAUUUGUGACUGCAUGGCUAGAGUGUGUCAGAGGGGGGUAGAAUUCCACGUGUAGCAGUGAAAUGCGUAGAUAUGUGGAGGAAUACCGAUGGCGAAGGCAGCCCCCUGGGAUAACACUGACGCUCAUGCACGAAAGCGUGGGGAGCAAACAGGAUUAGAUACCCUGGUAGUCCACGCCCUAAACGAUGUCUACUAGUUGUCGGGUCUUAAUUGACUUGGUAACGCAGCUAACGCGUGAAGUAGACCGCCUGGGGAGUACGGUCGCAAGAAA
rnacentral:rRNA from 1 species